ACUGCCUUUUUUGAGUGGCAAUGGAGCUGGGCAUAUUCAAAAGGAGGAGAAGAAGGUUCUCUGGAGAUUUUUGCUGUUCUAUGGACCCUCACACUGUUGUAAGAACAGAUCUGCCUGGUAUCUGAUGGAGAAAUCAUGCAAAUCCAGCAUUCCAAUUGGAGUUAACAGCUAGCAGAUGACACAAAGACACUUGUCUUCUAGAGUCCCUCUGGUGGCACAGGACUAGCCUGAAACCAUUCCUGAGUUCUGGAACACUACAAUCCACUGACAAAACUUGAUGGGUUACAGGCAACAGCUGAGAUCGAGGCAAAGGACUGUUUUUUUCCACAGGUGCACUUAGGCGAGGCUGAGGAAGUCUGGCUUGUGGAGGCAUUGGAAGCACAUCCUGGAUUAGUGGGCUGAGAGCACCAAGCAAUCAUUCCAGAGUGUGGGAUGGCAGGAGUUGGGAGCGCUGUGGCUGAUAGUGCCAGUUAAUGACAGUUAAGUGGGGAGGAGGCACAUUCGGCAAGGAGCUGCCCAAAGACUAUGUCAUUAGAGCUGCUCUCAAGUGUUGUCCGUGCAUCAGGGGAUUGUAGGCAUUCCGACAGCAGCUAUUCCAGUCCUAAAGUGGUAUCAGCAAGCCUCUGCUGGAGACAGAACUUCGUCGUGAUAUAACCGGAGCCAGAAGUUCGGCACCAUGCAGCCGCUCACCCACCCCACCUCCCGGUGGAAUGGGAAGGAGAAUCAAAAGUAAAAUUCAUAGGCUGAGCUUUCUACUCCUGAAAUGGCUUGUGGAAGUUACAAAUCCCCUGUAAACACCAGCGUGAAAGCUGAGUGCCUGCAAGCAAAGUAUCUUCUGUCUGCUCUGAGACACAGGGCAAGCACAAAAGCUAAAGACAACAGGGGGAAAUUGAAGAGAGCAAGGAGCCACGAAAACCUUUACGUGGUAGAUUUUAAAUCCUUCGCUGCAAUCUGUUUCCACAGCAGUGCGUGCAGCUCCAGACAUCUCUGAGCAAUGUGGCCACUCCUUUGUGUGCGGGCACAUGGUGGGAGCUCUCUGCUGCCAGCCUCUGCCCCGAGAUAGAAAUGCAGUUGCUCAACAGCCUAACUGCACAAAUCCCAGGAAUCACACAUUCACAGAUCAUAUUCCCCACUUUUUCCAGGAUAAUCUGCUUGUCCUGUCAUGUGGUUGAGGAAGGUGCUGGUUCUGAUCCACUUUGUGGGGGUUUCUACUCUUGAAGUAGCUGUGCCAGCUGCUUGUGAUAUUUUCAGUGGCUACAACACUGAUUUUGGAAGGUUUAGACCAGAAGGAAAGUAACAUCUGUAUUCCACAGGAAAGCAACAGCAACUGAAAGAAUCUGUGAAGGUUUAAAGAAGUGUGAACCAAGGUGAUGCUGCUUUAGAACAGAAAAUACCUUCUACUUAAGUAGGAGCAUUUUUAUUGAGGCAGUGUCCAUACACUUCAUACAGUGUAAUCAUAAGAGAUACAUGCAUUACUCUGCAGGAAGAAAUACUCUGGAGUUUGAGUGACACCCUGGUGAAAGAACCAGCAAUAGGUGAAUAUUUAUACAGAGAUUUCUCCUCCUCACAAAAGGCCUACUGGAAAGCCUGGAUAUCCAGAAUACGGCAAAAGCAGAAAUAAGGCAGUCUUGGGCUUGAAAAAACUGAAGAAAGACAUCUCCAAAAAGAAUAGACAAAAAUGAAACUAAAUGCUGAUUUGUAAUCCUGUCUUCUGUGACGUUUUCCUCCCUCCUACUGCUUCCAGCAUAAGCAGAGCUCUCUUGACACCUUGCAGAAACUUAGGAGCACCUGGCUGGCUCUCAAGGACUACUGCAUGAAUGUAUAAACAGAUUUUGCAGGGAGAGAGAGAGCAAAAGGAGUGGGGGAAGGAAAAAAAAGCAUCUGAAAGGUAAACCUUC